UUUGUCUGCCACACAACAGCAGAUAUUUAGCAAUUUCGUUUGUCAAAUUUGCGACACCUUUUGUAUCUGGUGCUGAAUUGUUGCUAACUAUCUGCAAGUGUAAAAUUUGUGAAAUUAAAUUAUUUUAACCUGAUUUAGGUAUGUACUAUGGACAGAGCUCAAAUAAUAAAUGGGGCUUUGGAGUCUAAGGAAAUUAGGUCGGAUACAUACGAGUCAGUGCGUUUGCGACGCUGUCUUCGUGAUCAAGCCUGACCCCUUAAUCUAUCGGAAAGUUUGUUCAGAACACAUUACAGAAUUUCGAAACAUCAAUAUUUACAAUUGUGCUCUGAAUUAAAGCCGUUAAUAACCUAGAUCAUCAAGACGAACAAGAAUAGAAAGUAAAAUGCAAGGUGUUAACAGCAUUGCAAAAUUUCAUACCAGAAACCUGUGGAAAUGAGCUUUUUGCAUUUUGAGUUAAACUGUAGUAAAUCCAAUGCCAUUAGGGAAGUGGCUAUGGCAUUAAACAUUCUUCCAGUUUUAUUGAAACAUUUAAAGUUUCUGAAAACAGUACAAUGGGUCACAAGUUAUUAUAAAUGGGUUUUACAAUAAAUUUGGCUUUCCUGGGGUUUCGGGGUGUAUAGAUGGCACUCAUUUGCACUUAUCAGAUCUUCUGUAUAUGAAGAAAGGUUUUAGAACCGCAAGCAUUAUCAUUUCAAGAAUGUGCAAAUAAUCUGUGAUCUUAACAUUUUAAGUAUUGAUGCAACAUUUCAUGAUACGUUUGUCUGGCUUAACACUGAACUGAAUAUGCCUAUGCAGGACCUGCACCAUUUUAGUGAAAAAGUUUGGUUUUUAGGCAAGUAAAACAUCAUGAGCUCUGUCUGAGUAACCUGACUACAAAAUAAUACUCAAUCUAAAAGUAUAUUUAAAACUGGGAAGGCCGUUAAUAUAUAGUACUAUAGUAAUGUUUAUUGUCAUACCAGGAACACUGUUGACCAUUGUGAGUAUUGAAAGCCAGUUGGAGAUGCUUGUUGGUACAUAGAGUACUGCAUUAUGAUCAUCAUAUGAUGGCCAAGACCAUAAUUGUUAGCUUGUAUUGCAUAACAUGGCAAACACACAUGGGUUUCCAGUGCCCCAACUCUGACGAAGAUGCUGAAAUUGAUGUUUCUUAUCAAAUUCAUAACAUUGUAUUUUUUGGGAGAGAAGAGGAAACACAGCACUUAGCACCAUGUCAACAUUCAAGGGUGGUUCAAUUGGAUUGUGGAGAACAGACAUUAAAUUUAGUCCAACCUCUGUAUUCUAGUAAUUUUAUGUAGAUAUUUUUAAAACUGCUGUUCUUAAUUAUGUGAACUGAGAGGGCAAGAAUAGCCUAAUUAUUUCUGUCUAUAAUUUUUUAAUUGUGCUUAGUGGAAAUAUACAUAUUUCCUUAACAUUUUUGUGUUUAUAGUAAAGGAUGGAUUCAUAACUAUUUGAAAGCAAAAUUGUAAGGUUGUUUUAUUAAGACAAUGUUUUAAUCUGUCGUGCUCAAUUUGUUCUGUAUCAUUUUAUAUUUGUGUUAACCCCGUUUGUAUGUUGUGUUAUAUAUAUUAUUGUAUAUACUGCUGUUUUAAAUAAUAAAAUAGAAUGAAUAACAAAUCGACUAGUAAUUCAUAAUUCUUCUAGAUUUUGUUGGAUACUUACAUGAAUAUUACUUACAAAAUGAAAAACAUAAUUCAUAAUUUAGACAAAAUGUGGAUCAACCACCACUGAUUUUUGUUCAUUGUGAUAAUAAUAAUAUAAAUAUAAAUAUUUACUAACAAUCACGCCACGUUAACUGGUCCCGUGAUAAGUUCGUAAAGAACUUGUGUUACAGGUACCAGAUAACGGAAAUAAAUGUAGGAUUUUUAUUAUACACAUACAUAUAUUGAAUAUACAUCCAUAACCCUGGAAAAGACAUUUAUAUUUAUCAUACAAAUAUCUUCACUUGGCGGGAUUCGAACCCGCGACCCCCGUGUGUAGCGACCAUGUCACUUACCACUACACCAGACGGCCGAUAGAUAAGUUUGAUAAUUAUUUUUUUUUGUGUAAUUUUGUUUUAUUUGAAUAAUAAUUCUUAAAUUAAGAAA